AAUCAAGCAUGCAGUAAGUGUGGAAAGUUUCAUUCUGGUGAUUGUUGGGUUUGUUACAUUUGCCAGAAACCUGGUCAUAUUGCUCGAUUCUGCUAUCAAAAUCAGAAUAGGGGUAAUGAUCAGAGACCUACAAUGCCAGCACGAGUGUAUGCCCUCUCUGGGCCGGAGGCUGCUAACAACCCUAAUGCUAUCCGAGGAGAAGAGCCACGAGUGACACGUGGAGGAGUCCCAGAGGCUUAGUGGUUUAGAUCCACUGUCUCUUUUGGGUAUUUGAUUUAUGAUUUAUAAUGUGUUAUAUUGCCAAUAUUAGGGCUUUUUGUUUAUUGUCAAUUAUAUUAAUAUAUAAAUGUAAUCAUGCCUUUCAAACUAUUUCUAUUUUUGGUAUACUUUGGAUGACUCUAAUUUUUAUAUUUCAUUUACUUUGAAUUGGUUAAAAUGGCAUGAUUAUGAGGCCAAAUAACUGGCUUGUGUUGAAAA